rnacentral:rRNA from 1 species
UGCAGUCGAGCGGAACGAUCCUAGCUUGCUAGGAGGCGUCGAGCGGCGGACGGGUGAGUAAUGCAUAGGAAUCUGCCCGGUAGUGGGGGAUAACUUGAGGAAACUCAAGCUAAUACCGCAUACGCCCUACGGGGGAAAGCAGGGGCUCUUCGGACCUUGCGCUAUCGGAUGAGCUUAUGUCGGAUUAGCUGGUUGGUGAGGUAACGGCUCACCAAGGCGACGAUCCGUAGCUGGUCUGAGAGGAUGAUCAGCCACAUCGGGACUGAGACACGGCCCGAACUCCUACGGGAGGCAGCAGUGGGGAAUAUUGGACAAUGGGGGCAACCCUGAUCCAGCCAUGCCGCGUGUGUGAAGAAGGCCCUCGGGUUGUAAAGCACUUUCAGCGAGGAAGAAUGCUUGUCGGUUAAUACCCGGCAAGGGAGACAUCACUCGCAGAAGAAGCACCGGCUAACUCCGUGCCAGCAGCCGCGGUAAUACGGAGGGUGCGAGCGUUAAUCGGAAUUACUGGGCGUAAAGCGUGCGUAGGCGGCUUGAUAAGCCGGUUGUGAAAGCCCCGGGCUCAACCUGGGAACGGCAUCCGGAACUGUUAGGCUAGAGUGCAGGAGAGGAAGGUAGAAUUCCCGGUGUAGCGGUGAAAUGCGUAGAGAUCGGGAGGAAUACCAGUGGCGAAGGCGGCCUUCUGGACUGACACUGACGCUGAGGUACGAAAGCGUGGGUAGCAAACAGGAUUAGAUACCCUGGUAGUCCACGCCGUAAACGAUGUCGACUAGCCGUUGGGGUCCUCGAGACCUUUGUGGCGCAGUUAACGCACUAAGUCGACCGCCUGGGGAGUACGGCCGCAAGGUUAAAACUCAAAUGAAUUGACGGGGGCCCGCACAAGCGGUGGAGCAUGUGGUUUAAUUCGAUGCAACGCGAAGAACCUUACCUACC